CCUACGGGUGGCAGCAGUGGGGAAUUUUGGACAAUGGGCGCAAGCCUGAUCCAGCAAUGCCGCGUGCAGGAUGAAGGCCUUCGGGUUGUAAACUGCUUUUGUACGGAACGAAACGGCGAGCUCUAAUACAGUUUGCUAAUGACGGUACCGUAAGAAUAAGCACCGGCUAACUACGUGCCAGCAGCCGCGGUAAUACGUAGGGUGCAAGCGUUAAUCGGAAUUACUGGGCGUAAAGCGUGCGCAGGCGGUUUUGUAAGACAGAUGUGAAAUCCCCGGGCUCAACCUGGGACCUGCAUUUGUGACUGCAAGGCUAGAGUACGGCAGAGGGGGAUGGAAUUCCGCGUGUAGCAGUGAAAUGCGUAGAUAUGCGGAGGAACACCGAUGGCGAAGGCAAUCCCCUGGGCCUGUACUGACGCUCAUGCACGAAAGCGUGGGGAGCAAACAGGAUUAGAUACCCGAGUAGUC
rnacentral:rRNA from 1 species